rnacentral:piRNA from 1 species
GAUGAAGAAGUAACUAGGAAACCCUGAAG